AUGAUCUUUCCUGUUCCUGGUGAACAUGACUGGAUAAGGACACCUGGACCAGACAUAGAGCCACCAGAAUUUCAUGUUAGGAGAGGAAGAAAGCAAGAGAAGAGGAUCAAGGGCAAGUUUGAAGUGCCAAAGCCAAAGGACAGCAGUAGAAUGGCCACAAUAACAUGCUCUAACUGUGGUCUCCAAGGCCAUAGAUACACCAACUGCCUGAAACAAUUGAAACCAGAUUUGGCUAUGAGGAAAAACAAGCAUGUGACCAAUAGGUCACAACAGCAACCUACACCUGCAAGAUCCCAGCCUGCACCAAGAUCACAGCCUCCACCUGCAAGGACUGGUGCAAGAUCUGGAGCAAGGUCUGGUGCAAGGACUGGUGCAAGAUCUAGAGCAAGGUCUGGUGCAAGUUCACAUCCAUCAACUAGUGGUGCAAGGCCAUUCACUGCCCCAAGAUAUGCAACUCCUUCGACAUAUUCUGCCCCAAGAUAUGCAACUCCGUCUACAUCUUCUGCCCCAAGAAGUCACACUGGUUGGAUGACCUAG
rnacentral:rRNA from 1 species